AGGUUGGCUCAGAAGCAGCCAUCCUUUAAAGAGUGCGUAACAGCUCACUAGUCGAGUGACCCUGCGCCGAAAAUGUACCGGGGCUAAGCCUGAUACCGAAACUGCGGAUUGUAGGAAACUAUAGUGGUAGGGGAGCGUUGUAUACGAGCAGAAGCCGUACCGUGAGGAGCGGUGGAUUGUAUAGAAGUGAGAAUGCCGGUGUGAGUAGCGAGAUGUAGGUGAGAAUCCUACACACCGAAAGCCCAAGGAUUCCAGGGGAAGGUUCGUCCGCCCUGGGUAAGUCGGGACCUAACGCGAGGCCGAAAGGCGUAGUGGAUGGAAAGCAGGCGAAAGAUUCCUGCACCCGUAUAUGGAGCGAAGGAGUGACGGAGACGGAUAGUGUGACCCUCUUAAUGGAUUGAGGGCGAAGCGAAGCGGCUGGUUACCAGGCAAAUCCGGUAACCAAAAGGCUAGAACGUGACAGGUAAGCGAAAUCUUAGGAAAGUAGCGAAGCACAUGAUGACGGCUUCCAGGAAAAGCUUCUGGCAAUGCAUAUGCGGCCCGUACCAAAACCGACACAGGUGGGCAGGGAGAGAAUCCCGAGGUGAGCGAGAGAACUGUUGCCAAGGAACUCGGCAAAAUGACUCCGUAAGUUAGCGAGAAGGAGUGCUUAAGCAAUUAAGCCGCAGUGAAGAGGCCCAAGCGACUGUUUAACUAAAACACAGCUCUCUGCGAAGUCGCAAGACGAAGUAUAGGGGGUGACACCUGCCCGGUGCUGGAAGGUUAAGAGGAUCUGUUAAGAGCGAUCUGAAGCAGUGAUCCGAAGCCCCAGUGAACGGCGGCCGUAACUAUAACGGUCCUAAGGUAGCGAAAUUCCUUGUCAGGUAAGUUCUGACCCGCACGAAAGGUGUAACGAUUUGGGCGCUGUCUCGGCAGCAGACUCGGUGAAAUCUUAGUACCUGUGAAAAUGCAGGUUACCCGCAACUAGACGGAAAGACCCCAUGGAGCUUUACUGCAGCCUGAUAUUGAAUUCUGGUCAUACAUGUACAGGAUAGGUGGGAGACAAAGAGACGUGCACGCCAGUGUACGAGGAGUCGUCGUUGGGAUACCACUCUUGUGUGACCGGGGUUCUAACCUGGUAUCGAGAACAGGUACGGGGAGAGUGUCAGGUGGGCAGUUUGACUGGGGCGGUCGCCUCCCAAAGAGUAACGGAGGCGCCCAAAGGUACGCUCAGAUUGGAUGGAAACCAAUCGUCGAGUGCAAUUGCAGAAGCGUGCUUGACUGUGAGACAAACAAGUCGAACAGGGACGAAAGUCGGGAAUAGUGAUCCGGCGGUGCCGAAUGGAAGGGCCGUCGCUCAACGGAUAAAAGCUACCCUGGGGAUAACAGGCUGAUCUCGCCCAAGAGUUCACAUCGACGGCGAGGUUUGGCACCUCGAUGUCGGCUCAUCGCAUCCUGGAGCUGGAUUCGGUUCCAAGGGUUGGGCUGUCCGCCCAUUAAAGCGGUACGCGAGCUGGGUUCAGAACGUCGUGAGACAGUUCGGUCCCUAUCUGUUGUGGGCGAAGGAGAUCUGCGGAGAGCUGUCCUCAGUACGAGAGGACCGGGAUGGACCUACCGCUGGUGCACCGGUUGUUCCGCCAGGGGCAUAGCCGGGUAGCUAAGUAGGGAAAGGAUAAGCGCUGAAAGCAUCUAAGCACGAAGCCUACUCCAAGAUGAGAUCUCCCAUUCGCAAGAAGUAAGACCCCUUAAAGACGAUAAGGUAGAUAGGCCAGGGAUGGAAGUGCAGUGAUGUACGGAGUUGACUGGUACUAAUCGGUCGAGGACUUAAUCAG
rnacentral:rRNA from 1 species